GACGAACGCUGGCGGCGUGCUUAACACAUGCAAGUCGAACGGAAAGGCCCUGCUUUUGUGGGGUGCUCGAGUGGCGAACGGGUGAGUAACACGUGAGUAACCUGCCCUUGACUUUGGGAUAACUUCAGGAAACUGGGGCUAAUAUCGGAUAGGAGCUCCUGCUGCAUGGUGGGGGUUGGAAAGUUUCGGCGGUUGGGGAUGGACUCGCGGCUUAUCAGCUUGUUGGUGGGGUAUUGGCUUACCAAGGCUUUGACGGGUAGCCGGCCUGAGAGGGUGACCGGCCACAUUGGGACUGAGAUACGGCCCAGACUCCUACGGGAGGCAGCAGUGGGGAAUAUUGCACAAUGGGCGGAAGCCUGAUGCAGCAACGCCGCGUGCGGGAUGACGGCCUUCGGGUUGUAAACCGCUUUCGCCUGUGACGAAGCGUGAGUGACGGUAAUGGGUAAAGAAGCACCGGCUAACUACGUG
rnacentral:rRNA from 1 species